AGUGAACGCUGGCGGUAGGCCUAACACAUGCAAGUCGAACGGCAGCACAGGAGAGCUUGCUCUCUGGGUGGCGAGUGGCGGACGGGUGAGGAAUACAUCGGAAUCUACUCUGUCGUGGGGGAUAACGUAGGGAAACUUACGCUAAUACCGCAUACGACCUACGGGUGAAAGCAGGGGACCUUCGGGCCUUGCGCGAUUGAAUGAGCCGAUGUCGGAUUAGCUAGUUGGCGGGGUAAAGGCCCACCAAGGCGACGAUCCGUAGCUGGUCUGAGGGGAUGAUCAGCCACACUGGAACUGAGACACGGUCCAGACUCCUACGGGAGGCAGCAGUGGGGAAUAUUGGACAAUGGGCGCAAGCCUGAUCCAGCCAUACCGCGUGGGUGAAGAAGGCCUUCGGGUUGUAAAGCCCUUUUGUUGGGAAAGAAACCCAGCUGGCUAAUACCCGGUUGGGAUGACGGUACCCAAAGAAUAAGCACCGGCCAACUUCGUGCCAGCCGCCGCAGUAA
rnacentral:rRNA from 1 species